GCAGAUGUAGCCAAGUGGAUCAAGGCAAUGGAUUUUGAAUCCACCACGCACAGGUUCAAUCCUCGUCAUUUGCC
rfam:Citrus clementina cultivar Clemenules unplaced genomic scaffold scaffold_6, whole genome shotgun sequence.